rnacentral:rRNA from 1 species
AGAGAUAGAGCUUUCCCCUUCGGGGGACAAAGUGACAGGUGGUGCAUGGUUGUCGUCAGCUCGUGUCGUGAGAUGUUGGGUUAAGUCCCGCAACGAGCGCAACCCUUAAGCUUAGUUGCCAUCAUUAAGUUGGGCACUCUAAGUUGACUGCCGGUGACAAACCGGAGGAAGGUGGGGAUGACGUCAAAUCAUCAUGCCCCUUAUGAUUUGGGCUACACACGUGCUACAAUGGACAAUACAAAGGGCAGCGAAACCGUGAGGUCAAGCAAAUCCCAUAAAGUUGUUCUCAGUUCGGAUUGUAGUCUGCAACU